rnacentral:rRNA from 1 species
CGUAGGUGAACCUGCGGAAGGAUCAUUACCGAGUUCAUGGCCCUUCGGGGUAGAUCUCCCACCCUUUGUAUACUAUACCUUUGUUGCUUUGGCGGGCCGCCUAGCUACUGGCUUCGGCUGGUAAGUGCCCGCCAGAGAACCCAAAACCCUGAAUUAUUAGUGUCGUCUGAGUAAAAUAUUUAAUAUUUAAAACUUUCAACAACGGAUCUCUUGGCUCUGGCAUCGAUGAAGAACGCAGCGAAAUGCGAUAAGUAAUGUGAAUUGCAGAAUUCAGUGAAUCAUCGAAUCUUUGAACGCACAUUGCGCCCCUUGGUAUUCCGAGGGGCAUGCCUAUUCGAGCGUCAUUAUCACCCCUCAAGCCUAGCUUGGUGUUGAGACCUGCUGUCAAGGCAGUCUCUAAAAUCAGUGGCAGUGCUGUCAGGCUCUAAGCGUAGUAAAUUCAUCGCUAUAGGCACCUGGUGGCCACUCGCCAGAACCCCCCCAUUUUUUAAUGAUUGACCUCGGAUUAGGUAGGGAUACCCGCUGAACUUAAGCAUAUCAAUAAGCGGAGGAAAAGAAAC